AAGAUAGGACAGAGGAAGAUGAUGAGGAGGAUGAUCGAGAGAUUGAUUCACAUGAAGAGGAAGAUGGUUAGGGAAAUUUUGGCAUUGACGCCACCAUUGUAGCUUUGGAGGUUAGGGUUAUGGAACCAGCUUGAAGUAGAGUUGGUGUUGAAGGUGACGGGAUGCGAUUUGUGAGUAGUGAUUUUGAUGAUGCUGACAUUUUCGUCACCGACAACAAAAUAGUUCCAUCUCAUCCCGCUAGUUACAACGUAGCGGCUGUUGGCAGUGGUGAAGAAGGACUUUUGGCACCAAAAGAUUUUCAAGGUUGGACUCGGAGAUUAAAGCUGCGGUAGAGACCAAUGAUUUUUCUUAAGUCAUUGCUGCGGCCGGAGAAGCUGAAACACACAAGAGAGGGUCCAUUGGAAAUGCAUCAAUAAUAAGUUGAUUUUGGUUGUUCCAUAUGGAAAAAUUCUUUGAAGGGGUCGUCUUAAUGUGGUUAACAAUUUUGAAUAAUCAUUGGAUGUACAAGUGAGAAACUCAAGAGGAUGAAUAGUUUAUCUUGUAACUUCUUGAUUUUCAAUUGUGAUAAAUUGUCUUGUAUUUGUGGCAUUUGGUUCUUGAAAUUUUGGAGGAUAUUGGGCUAAAAGUAUCGAUUACAACGAGAGCUUUUAACCCUUUUGGAAUUCAUUUGACUGGGGAUUAGGCUCUGCUGCAUUGCUUCUUAUAAUGUGGAGUUGCUUUCUUAGUUUAA